AUUGAACGCUGGCGGCAGGCCUAACACAUGCAAGUCGAACGAGUGGCGGACGGGUGAGUAAUGUCUGGGAAACUGCCCGAUGGAGGGGGAUAACUACUGGAAACGGUAGCUAAUACCGCAUACCAUCGGAGGUGCCCAGAUGGGAUUAGCUCGUAGGUGGGGUAACGGCUAACCUGGGCGACGAUCCCGAGCUGGUGUGAAAGGAUGACCAUCCACCCUGGACCUGUGCAACGGUCCAGACGCCUACGUGAGUCAGCAGUGGGGAAUAUUGCACAAUGGGCGCAAGCCUGAUGCAGCCAUGCCGCGUGUAUGAAGAAGGCCUUCUGGUUGUAAAGUACUUUCAGCGAGGAGGCGUUACUCGCAGAAGAAGCACCGGCUAACUCCGUGCCAGCCGCCGCGGUAAUAC
rnacentral:rRNA from 1 species